rnacentral:rRNA from 2 species
UGGGGAAUAUUGCACAAUGGGGGAAACCCUGAUGCAGCAACGCCGCGUGAGUGAUGAAGGUUUUCGGAUCGUAAAGCUCUGUCUUUGGGGAAGAUAAUGACGGUACCCAAGGAGGAAGCCACGGCUAACUACGUGCCAGCAGCCGCGGUAAUACGUAGGUGGCGAGCGUUAUCCGGAUUUACUGGGCGUAAAGGGAGCGUAGGCGGAUGAUUAAGUGGGAUGUGAAAUACUCGGGCUCAACUUGGGUGCUGCAUUCCAAACUGGUUAUCUAGAGUGCAGGAGAGGAGAGUGGAAUUCCUAGUGUAGCGGUGAAAUGCGUAGAGAUUAGGAAGAACACCAGUGGCGAAGGCGACUCUCUGGACUGUAACUGACGCUGAGGCUCGAAAGCGUGGGGAGCAAACAGG